rnacentral:rRNA from 1 species
AGCAGUGGGGAAUUUUGGACAAUGGGCGCAAGCCUGAUCCAGCAAUGCCGCGUGAGUGAAGAAGGCCUUCGGGUUGUAAAGCUCUUUUGUCAGGGAAGAAACGGUGAGGGCUAAUAUCCUUUGCUAAUGACGGUACCUGAAGAAUAAGCACCGGCUAACUACGUGCCAGCAGCCGCGGUAAUACGUAGGGUGCAAGCGUUAAUCGGAAUUACUGGGCGUAAAGCGUGCGCAGGCGGUUUUGUAAGUUUGUCGUGGAAGCCCCGGGCUCAACCUGGGAAUUGCGAUGAAGACUGCAAGGCUUGAAUCUGGCAGAGGGGGGUAGAAUUCCACGUGUAGCAGUGAAAUGCGUAGAGAUGUGGAGGAACACCGAUGGCGAAAGCAGCCCCCUGGGUCAAGAUUGACGCUCAUG